rnacentral:rRNA from 1 species
ACGAACGCUGGCGGCGUGCUUCACACCUGCAAGUCGCACGGAAAGGCCCUGCUUUUGUGGGGUGCUCGCGUGGCGAACGGGUGAGUAACACGUGAGUAACCUGCCCUUGACUUUGGGAUAACUUCAGGAAACUGGGGCUAAUACCGGAUAGGAGCUCCUGCUGCAUGGUGGGGGUUGGAAAGUUUCGGCGGUUGGGGAUGGACUCGCGGCUUAUCAGCUUGUUGGUGGGGUAGUGGCUUACCAAGGCUUUGACGGGUAGCCGGCCUGAGAGGGUGACCGGCCACAUUGGGACUGAGAGACGGCCCAGACUCCUACGGGAGGCAGCAGUGGGGAAUAUUGCACAAUGGGCGGAAGCCUGAUGCAGCAACGCCGCGUGCGGGAUGACGGCCUUCGGGUUGUAAACCGCUUUCGCCUGUGACGAAGCGUGAGUGACGGUAAUGGGUAAAGAAGCACCGGCUAACUACGUG